rnacentral:rRNA from 1 species
CAGAGGGGGCAAGCGUUAUUCGGAAUUAUUGGGCGUAAAGGGCGCGUAGGCGGCGAUUCAAGUGACGGGUGAAAUCCCUCGGCUUAACCGAGGAACUGCCUGUCAGACUGGGUUGCUUGAGACCGGGAGAGGCGAGUGGAAUUCCCAGUGUAGCGGUGAAAUGCGUAGAUAUUGGGAGGAACACCAGUGGCGAAGGCGGCUCGCUGGACCGGAACUGACGCUGAGGCGCGAAAGCGUGGGGAGCAAACAGGAUUAGAUACCCUGGUAGUCCACGCCGUAAACGAUGAGUGCUUGGUGUAGCGGGUAUCGACCCCUGCUGUGCCGAAGUCAACACAUUAAGCACUCCGCCUGGGGAGUACGGUCGCAAGACUG